GACUUGAAAAAUCCGUUGGCUUUAUAGACCGUGAGG
rnacentral:tRNA from 2 species